GCUCAGAAACUUAAAUGAAUUGACGGGGGCCCGCACAAGCGGUGGAGUAUGUGGUUUAAUUCGAUGCAACGCGAAGAACCUUACCUGGUCUUGACAUCCCGGAGACCCUUAGGAAACUAGGGGGUGCUUCCAUCUGGAAGAAUCUGGAGACAGGUGCUGCAUGGCUGUCGUCAGCUUGUGUCGUGAGAUGUUGGGUUAAGUCCCGCAACGAGCGCAACCCUUGCCUUUAGUUGCCAUCGGUGAGGCCGGGCACUCUGGAUGGACUGCCGGCGACAAGCCGGAGGAAGGUGGGGAUGACGUCAAGUCAUCAUGGCCCUUAUGUCCAGGGCGACACACGUGCUACAAUGGCCGGCACAGCGGGAAGCGAAGGGGCGACUCUGAGCGGAUCCCUUAAAGCCGGUCCCAGUUCGGAUUGCAGUCUGCAACUCGACUGCAUGAAGUUGGAAUCGCUAGUAAUCGUGGAUCAGCCAAGCCGCGGUGAAUACGUUCCCGGGCCUU
rnacentral:rRNA from 1 species